rfam:Asian citrus Psyllid, Diaphorina citri - Florida Strain, whole genome shotgun sequence.
GCCUAGUUAGCUUAGUUGGCAGUGCGUCUGCCUUGUAAGCAGCACUAGGCCGCGGGUUCGAUUCCCGCCCGGGGCG